UCGAAGUUCGAUGCUUCUCGUGCUUUGCUCUCAGUCUCACUUGUCUCCGGCGGUCGAGAGAACUAGACUGAUCCUUCAAUGGCGUCCAUCAUCUGUACGAUCUUAUUCGCUCCUCUCUCCGCAACGAAUAUCUCAGUCGAGGUAAACAAGAACAGCACCGCGACGCUCCAUUUUGUUUUCACCUUAUCCGUUCAGACUCGAUUCGGCCAAGAUAUAUACAUCGUUUCAUUGUUCCGCGAUUGUGCAGACCGUUAAUGAUUAGUGGGUUUCUGCUAGUUUUGGGAAGCAACGGGGGGAAAUGUUCUGUUUACGGUUUUGCUGAGUGAUUUGAUCUACCUCGAGUCUAGAGAGCAAUCAGCUAACAAGAAUUUUGCAUGCGUUUUUAGUGAAUCGGAAUUCUGAAGCUGUUAGUGUUAUUCUUUGAUUUUUGGCGUAUUCUUUUCUUGUACAUAAUUUUGAUGGUUCAGGUGGCCAUUUCCUGUUGAGAAGGAAAUGGUCUGAGUAUUCCUCGUCACUCUUCCAGGAAUUGAAAUUACAGAAGGCAAAUGUGGUUAGGAUUUCAAGAAGAAGGAUUACUACUACAGGUACAUUUUGUCUUUUCUCAAUUUUCCUCCUCCUUGAGCCUUCCUGUAUUGUUUAGUAAAGUUCGUGUGUAGCUCCGAGUUGUGGUUGUGAGUUGUGACUUUUCAUAACUGAAAGUUCAUAGCAGAUGCUUUCACUAUGACCCAAUAUGCUCAAGUAAGAUGAGAAAGCUAAGAAUGCAGAAAAAGCGGAAGGUUGCGCUGAACUUUUCGACAUUGUGAAUUCUUGGAGCUUCCUCUUUUAAAAUAACAUAUAUGGAUAUAUUUCCAAACUCCAGUCACGUUAGGAUGUGGUCUUGGUCUGUUUUAUGAUCUAGGUGGCAAGUCUGUUUGCGCUUCGUUGUACUGAGUGAGGCUAGUUAAUUAAUUGGCCCGAGUGACAAUGUACAGAUGGAGUUAGUUGUUUACAGCUUGAGAAUGUCUACUUCUUGUUAGAGACUGUUAAUGGACUUCUCGCAUUACUAGUGUGUUUGAUCUACUUACAAAAUAUUGUUAGAGACUGUUAAUGGACUUCUUGUUAGAGACUGCAAAAUUUUAAAUGUGUUUGAUCUACUUACACUUCUGGCUGUAUGAUAAAAGCCUUGUCUAACUUGAAUAUUUUCAUCAAUUUGAGUCUGAACAAAAUAUAGUUUUUGUCCUUAAUACCUGAAUAACCAUGAAGUAAACAAUUUCCAAACCAAUUCUAAAGAUAUGAAUGGUUAAACAGCCGAACAGGUUAUGUGAAUUUCUAUAAGGAUACCUCUUUUUCCCUUCAAGAAAUUGGCACACGACAAGUCAAAUGGAACUAAACUAUAUAGUCUAAAUCUGUUGGAAUUUACUCCAACCUCUGCUACAUGCCUGAAUGUAAAUGAACGUUUGUCGGAUCAAUCGUUUUCUCUCUUCUCUGGGUUGCCAUUCGAUAUCCCUUCCUUGAAGAAAGAAUCUUUUGUCUCCAUUAUGUUUCCAGCUUAUGUUUUAUCUGGUUAAACUUGGAUGGGCCAAGACUCUUGAAAUGAAGGUAAAAAAAAAAACUCUCUCGAUUUGAUACAGUUAUGGU
rnacentral:lncRNA from 1 species